AACUCUCUGCCCUGCAUGUGAGGUCAAGACGCCCACGCGGAAUAUAUUUCGAUCGGGCUUUCUUCAGGUUGGCGGUGUGCCAGCCCACCUUGUAGUGGGACGCCUGAAGCCUUCACAAGAGAGCCCCCCUCAUAGUGAUUCGCUGUGAGGCCCAACGAUCCACGGCAGGUGUGGAGAGCCC
rnacentral:other from 1 species